ensembl:lncRNA
UUACUCAGAAACCUCACCCAUAACACAUGGCUGUAAAAACCUGCUCGCCUUUCAACUUUUAAGGAGCAGAGCAGGUUUCCGGAGGAACCAGACUCAAGGGGAGCCCCAGGGAAGAGCCAAAGCAGCUGGGAAUUUGAUACCCCGGUGCUCCAAAGCUAAAAGAAGAAUUAGAAGAAAGCUGCAUGAAUAAAGAUGGGAUCCUUCAUGAUACAGAAAAGACCUCAGCAGAAAUGCUGGCCCAAUGGGAGGAUGCUAUGUGGGAAAAGAAGCUUCUUGAGCAAAUGGUUAAAGAAUUGCAGCAAAAGUUGGAGGACCGAGAAAAAACCUUCGAGAGAUUUAGAGACAAACUCACAAAGGAAAUGAGAGAAAGAGACGACCUUCUGAGAAAGAUGAAUGAGAGGAUUCAGAUGCUGGAACGCUUACUGAAGUUACUAGAAACACUAGAGGAACAGGACAUGAAGAAAGAAGAGCAGGCCAAAAGAGAGGCAGCUGAAAGGGAAAACGAGCCUCUUGAACAAAAGGUUAAAGAACUGCAGCAAAAAUCGGAGAACCAAGAAAAAGUCUUCGAAGUAUUAAGAGACAAAAUGACAGAGGAGUUGAAUGAAAGAGAGAAAGCCUCAGCAGAAGAGCAGAUCAGAAGAGAGGCUGUUGAGAGGGAAAAUGAGUCUCUUGAAAAACAGGUUAAAGAAUUGCAGCAAAAUUUGGAGGACCAAGGAAGAGUCUUCCAGAGAUUAAGAACUGAAAUGACAGAGGAGAUGAGAGAAAGUGAAAACGUCUCAGCAGAAGAGCAGAUCAGAGGAGAGGCCACUGAGAGGGAAAAGGAGUCUCUUGAAAAACAGGUUAAAGAAUUGCAGCAAAAUUUGGAGGACCAAGGAAGAGUCUUCCAGAGAUUAAGAACUGAAAUGACAGAGGAGAUGAGAGAAAGUGAAAACGUCUCAGCAGAAGAGCAGAUCAGAGGAGAGGCCACUGAGAGGGAAAAGGAGUCUCUUGAAAAACAGGUUAAAGAAUUGCAGCAAAAUUUGGAGGACCAAGGAAGAGUCUUCCAGAGAUUAAGAACUGAAAUGACAGAGGAGAUGAGAGAAAAUGAAAAGGCCUCAGCAGAAGAGCAGGCCAAAAGAGAGGCUGCUGAGAGGGAAAAGCUUUUAGAGCAAAAGCUUAAAGAAUUGCAACAAAAGUUUGAGGACCAAGAAAGAGCCUUCAAGGUAUUUAGAGUCCAAAUGACAGAAGAGGUGAGAGAAAGAGACAAUUUUCUGAGAAAGAUGAAUGAGAGGAUUGAGAUGCUGGAGGCUGCAGUGAACAAUGAUAAUGACAAGGAUAAUGAGGAAAACACUGAAAAGUACUGAACUUCAUAGACACAGGAAGAUAAUGACAAAGAAAAUACUUCACAGCCUUUUGUUUUAAUCUCUGUUUGGGAGAAUAUAAAACAUGUGUGGUCACUAAUUACUCAGAUUUUUUGUUUGUUUCUUUUAAAUUCUGGUAAUAUUAAAAGUUUUCACAAGUGCUUUUUUGAUCUGGAUUAUUUCUAUCUAUGUAUGUACUUUUUCUUUUAUCAUUAAAGUUUUAAUGUAAAAAGUAGAAACAUCAUCUACUAUAGAACAUCAAUUCCUGGCCCACAAAGGAAAGAAUUAGUGUGGCUGGAUAAUUAAUUUAAGUGGAAAUGGAAGCAACUGAGUAGAAGACAAAGAGGUCAAGUUUGUAAUAUCUUGAAAAAAAGAAAAAUUUUAUUAAGUAAUGCUUCUGAAAGUCACAUAUGAAUAAUUAUACAAAUGAAUAUGUAUACUGG